rnacentral:rRNA from 1 species
UACAGAGGGGGCAAGCGUUGUUUCGGAAUUACUGGGCGUAAAGGGCGCGUAGGCGGCCCCGCUAAGUCGAACGUGAAAUCCCCGAGCUCAACUCGGGAACUGCGUCCGAUACUGGUGGGCUUGAAUCCGGGAGAGGGAUGCGGAAUUCCAGGUGUAGCGGUGAAAUGCGUAGAUAUCUGGAGGAACACCGGUGGCGAAGGCGGCAUCCUGGACCGGCAUUGACGCUGAGGCGCGAAAGCUAGGGGAGCAAACGGG